rnacentral:rRNA from 1 species
UACGUAGGGUGCAAGCGUUGUCCGGAAUUAUUGGGCGUAAAGAGCUCGUAGGCGGUCUGUUGCGUCCGCUGUGAAAACUCGGGGCUUAACCCCGAGCCUGCAGUGGAUACGGGCAGACUAGAGGUAGGUAGGGGAGAAUGGAAUUCCCGGUGUAGCGGUGAAAUGCGCAGAUAUCGGGAGGAACACCGGUGGCGAAGGCGGUUCUCUGGGCCUUACCUGACGCUGAGGUGCGAAAGCGUGGGGAGCAAACAGG